rnacentral:rRNA from 1 species
GACGAACGCUGGCGGCGUGCUUAACACAUGCAAGUCGAACGAUGAACCACUCGGUGGGGAUUAGUGGCGAACGGGUGAGUAACACGUGGGCAAUCUGCCCUUCACUCUGGGACAAAGCCCUGGAAACGGGGUCUAAUACCGGAUACGACACUCUCGGGCAUCCGAUGAGUGUGGAAAGCUCCGGCGGUGAAGGAUGAGCCCGCGGCCUAUCAGCUUGUUGGUGAGGUAACGGCUCACCAAGGCGACGACGGGUAGCCGGCCUGAGAGGGGCGACCGGCCACACUGGGACUGAGACACGGCCCAGACUCCUACGGGGAGGCAGCAGUGGGGAAUAUUGCACAAUGGGCGAAAGCCUGAUGCAGCGACGCCGCGUGAGGGAUGACGGCCUUCGGUUGUAAACCUCU